CCCUUAGAUGUUCUGGGCCGCACGCGUGCUACACUGAGUGGAUCAGCGGGCCAGGUUGCGCGAAAGCGUUUCCUAAUCUUUAAAUCCGCUCGUGAUGGGGAUUGACGGUUGCAAUUUUCUGUCAUGAACGAGGAAUACCUUGUAAGCGCGGGUCAUCAUCCCGCGCUGAAUACGUCCCUGCCCUUUGUACACACCGCCCGUCGCUCCUACCGAUUGAGUGGUCCGGUGAGGCUUUGGGAUCUAAGCGGAAAGAGCGUUUCGCUGUUUCUGCUCGGAAAACUCAGUCGAACCUUAUCAUUUAGAGGAAGGAGAGGUCGUAACA
rnacentral:rRNA from 1 species